rnacentral:rRNA from 1 species
UNGAAGAACUNCGNCCNUGACAUCCCGGGACAGAGANGGGGGUGCCUUCGGGAACCCGAGACAGGUGNUGCAUGGCUGUCGUCAGCUCGUGUCGUGAGAUGUUGGGUUAAGUCCCGCAACGAGCGCAACCCUUGUCCCUAGUUGCCAGCACUUCGGGUGGGAACUUUAGGGAGACCGCCGGGGUCAAACCGGAGGAAGGUGGGGAUGAGGUCAAGUCAUCAUGGCCCUUAUGGGCAGGGNUUCACACGUGCUACAAUGGCCGGUACAGAGGGCUGCCAACCCGCGAGGGGGAGCUANUCNCAAAAAGCCGGUUAGUUCGGAUCGGAGUCUGCAACUCGACUCCGUGAAGUCGGANUCGCUAGUAAUCGUCA